AAGUGCGGAGCGAGCCGGCGGCUGCACCCGGCUGGGUGAAGUGGGCGCUCCCCGCCCGGAGGGCAGCGCUGGCGGCGAUUGCCGCCCGCCCUCUUUCAGGUGUCCGUACCCCGUUUCUUACCGCCCUCUCCCCCUGCGAGGUGGGGCUUUUUUUUAAGCAAAGGUUCCUGUUUUGACCUUUUGGAAAAUGGGUAACCGCCCCAGAGAAGGAGACCCACACCCUUAAAACUGACAGCAAGGACUGACUUCUUCAAAUUCGGCUGCCCAAAAAAAAAAAAAUAUAUAUAUAUACACACACACGCAUACCCCCAAAAUAACCCAAUCCAGGAAUAUUAAGUCCACCAUCUGCCACCAACACGCUCAACAACUACAAGAAAUGCGAAGAGAGCUUUGGACUGAAGUUUUAUAUUCACUGCUACAUCUGUUCAUGAAAGAUUUACAUGGAGGAAAAAAAAAGGGAGGCAUAUUCAUUCACCUGAGGAAAAAGUUCCAUUGAUUUGAACAUAAGAGUAGAAUGCUGCUCCUCACACAGCUGUCUUUGAAGAGAGACAGAGAACAGGCAACGCUUUUGUUCAUCAUUAGAAGUUAUUACUUUUAAGGACUGACUUAAAACAACUAAGAGACACGCUGUUCAACUCAAUUUAGAGUAUUUCUUCCUGCUACUGCCAACGUAUUUAAAUAUCUGAGCCUGCCAUGCUGCCUAAAGCACAACCACAAUCUUCCAAGGGCCUGUACUUCCACAGACUCUCAGGGAAGGGGCACCAGAACACGUUGCAAAACCAGACAACACAGUUGCAUCACGACUUUUCGAGAGCUUAAUCCAUAAAUACUUGAGUAAAAAGUAUGUACGGAGACCAAACAGAAAGCAGCACUAGUAUCAUCUGAGGUAAAUUUGCUGUGGAAUUUCCUUUUGCACAAAGAGCUGGGAGGGGAACACGGCAAACCUGUUACACCAGCAUGGGCAGGGAAACCUGUCCACACUGAAAGAUAGAAAUGCUUAACCAGUUCCAGAAAGAUAAAGGCCAGAAAUGCAAGUUUUGUAUUAUGAUGGCACGUUAGAAUCAACCAUGCCAAAACCUAUGAAAAGUUAUUAAAAUUUGUGUGGACAGAGGUUCAAGACAAACACUAAAUAAAAUUAAUUCCAUGUAUUUCUGGAAGAGUACUGUUUCCUGUCUUUGAUUGUCUUUAUUAUUUACCUUAAAACUCUCCAAGACAGGGCCUGCCACUUACGUUACUACUUUCAGUUGUGCAGUGCCCAAAAUAGUAGGGCCUGCAGCUUGGUUGUCCCUAAUUACUAACGUAAUUAACAAUGAUGGGAGCAUUAAGAGCCCUUUAUGCUGAAGUACGAUGCUGGAAAGCUCAGUAGGUCCCAGCCUCAAAAGAAUAAUUCAAAAUGACACUUAGAAAUUACAUUAUCUAGCACUUCUUUACUUAAUUUGCACAAUCCAAAUCUGAGCAAUACAGAAGCUGGUGGGAGUUUUCCCUCAGCCACAUUGAGAACAAGACCAUGCAGAUCUGUUAUCUAGAUAUGGGCCUAUUCCUGUAAAUUCUCUGUGUUUACCUCUCCUGUUGUUAUGAUUCAGAACAGUCCCAGAGGUAGAUCCUAAGCCCAAGUAGAAGCAAUUCCCUUUUUAGAAGGCCAGGACUUUGUUUAGGAAACCCCAGUCCCACUUGAAAACAGCCAGAUUAGCUGCUGAAUGAUUCAGAAGGUAUUUAAAGAAGAUAAAAUAAAUCCCUAAACUACCGUUCAAUCU